rnacentral:rRNA from 1 species
UGCAGUCGACGAUGAUCCGGGUGCUUGCACUCGGGGAUUAGUGGCGAACGGGUGAGUAACACGUGAGUAACCUGCCCUGGACUCUGGGAUAACCCCGAGAAAUCGGAGCUAAUACCGGAUAGGACCUGGGACCGCAUGGUUUCGGGUGGAAAGUUUUUCGGUUUGGGAUGGACUCGCGGCCUAUCAGCUUGUUGGUGAGGUAAUGGCUCACCAAGGCGUCGACGGGUAGCCGGCCUGAGAGGGUGACCGGCCACACUGGGACUGAGACACGGCCCAGACUCCUACGGGAGGCAGCAGUGGGGAAUAUUGCACAAUGGGCGCAAGCCUGAUGCAGCAACGCCGCGUGCGGGAUGACGGCCUUCGGGUUGUAAACCGCUUUUAGUAAGGAAGAAGGGGAGCUUGCUCCUUGACGGUACUUGCAGAAAAAGGACCGGCUAACUACGUGCCAGCAGCCGCGGUAAUACGUAGGGUCCGAGCGUUGUCCGGAAUUAUUGGGCGUAAAGAGCUCGUAGGCGGUUUGUCGCGUCUGCUGUGAAAUCUAGAGGCUCAACCUCUAGCCUGCAGUGGGUACGGGCAGACUUGAGUGGUGUAGGGGAGACUGGAAUUCCUGGUGUAGCGGUGGAAUGCGCAGAUAUCAGGAGGAACACCGAUGGCGAAGGCAGGUCUCUGGGCACUUACUGACGCUGAGGAGCGAAAGCGUGGGGGAGCGAACAGGAUUAGAUACCCUUGGUAGUCCACGCCCGUAAACNGUUGGGCGCUAAGAUGUGGGGGACCUUUUCCACGGGUUUCCCGUGGCCGUAGCUAAACGCAUUAAAGCGGCCCCGCCUGGGGGAGUACGGGCCGCAAAGGCUAAAAACUCCAANAGGAAUUUGACCGGGGGGCCCCG